UUAGGGUUAGUAUAGUUUUCUUUUGCAAAGAAAUUCUUGAUUUAUAAAUAAUAAAUCAACCUUUAG
rnacentral:tRNA from 1 species